AUUGAACGCUGGCGGCAUGCUUUACACAUGCAAGUCGAACGGCAGCGCGGGCUUCGGCCUGGCGGCGAGUGGCGAACGGGUGAGUAAUACAUCGGAACGUGCCCAGUAGUGGGGGAUAGCUCGGCGAAAGCCGGAUUAAUACCGCAUACGACCUGAGGGUGAAAGCGGGGGAUCUUCGGACCUCGCGCUAUUGGAGCGGCCGAUGGCAGAUUAGCUAGUUGGUGGGGUAAAGGCCUACCAAGGCGACGAUCUGUAGCUGGUCUGAGAGGACGACCAGCCACACUGGGACUGAGACACGGCCCAGACUCCUACGGGAGGCAGCAGUGGGGAAUUUCGGACAAUGGGCGAAAGCCUGAUCCAGCAAUGCCGCGUGUGAUGAAGGCCUUCGGGUUGUAAAGCACUUUUGGCGGGAACGAAAAGGACUGUGCCAAUACCACGGUUCGAUGACGGUACCCGCAGAAUAAGCACCGGCUAACUACGUG
rnacentral:rRNA from 1 species